rnacentral:rRNA from 1 species
AACGAACGCUGGCGGCAUGCCUAACACAUGCAAGUCGAACGAGACCUUCGGGUCUAGUGGCGCACGGGUGCGUAACGCGUGGGAACCUGCCCUUAGGUUCGGAAUAACUCCCCGAAAGGGGUGCUAAUGCCGGAUAAUGUCUUCGGACCAAAGAUUUAUCGCCUUUGGAUGGGCCCGCGUUGGAUUAGCUAGUUGGUAGGGUAAAAGCCUACCAAGGCGACGAUCCAUAGCUGGUCUGAGAGGAUGAUCAGCCACACUGGGACUGAGACACGGCCCAGACCCUUCGGGAGGGAGGAAGGGGGGAAAAUGGGACAAGGGGCGAAGGCUUGACCAACAAAUGCGGGGGGAGGGAGGAAGGCUUAAGGGUUGAAAACCCCUUUUCCCGGGAUGGUUAAGACAGUAACGGGGAGAAUAGGCCCGGGUAAAUCCGUU